rnacentral:rRNA from 1 species
AUGGCAGAAUUCAACCUACGCAAGAAGCUCAAGCAAUGGAUCGUGGGCUUGGCCGCGAUCGAGCGCACGCGCAAGAGGCAAGCUGCUAGAAUCACCUGGCUCCGGGCCGGAGACGCCAAAACUGCAUUCUUUCAGGCCAAGAUCAACGCGAUACGGAGGAAGAAUUUCAUCCACUCUUUGCAGACAGAUUCCUGCAUGGCAACCUCGCAUGAAGAUAAAGCAUCCAUCACCCACGAUCACUUCGUCAACCUGCUGGGCACCAAGCGGGACCACGGCUGUGCCAUAAACUGGGACGCGAUCGACCUGCCUUCCGUCAGCAACGCCGGCUUGGAUAAGCCGUUCACUGAACCGGAGGUA